AAUUCUGUAACGGUUUGGACUGAAUCUGCUAAUUUACAAACUAUCGGUUGCGACUGUGACCGCACUUUUUUUUUUUUUUUUUAAGGAAUCAGUUUGAAAAAAAAAGUCUCUUUGUUGUCAGACUUCCCUAAAGACAGUACAAAAGCACAAAAGCAACUUGAGAGAUUUAUGUCCCCACAUUUUUGAAGGAAAUUAUUCAGACCUAAAGGAGACGACGGGAGCAGCAGGACAGCAGCUCAGGAAGUGAUGACGAGCCUCCAGAAAGAGGACCUGCGUCCGAGUGCUGCUGCUCCUGAGCCAGAUGUUCAGGCUCCAGUCCUCCAGUAGAACAGGGAAAGCGCUCAGCCUGCCGCUCCCAAACCUCCGCUGUUGUUGUAGAGGUCAUUUAGGAGUUCAUCAUGUGAUGGCUGACUGACUCUCCAUACAACUCGUAGAUCACAUUCCACGAAGAAUUGAGGACCAGAGAGAUCAGAUCCCCGUCAGCUUCAUGCAAUCCAUGAGACAAAACAUUACAAAGUUCAGGUUGAGGAGUGAAGCGGACUCCUGAACAUGCAUCGAGAAACGAAGCUGCAAUCAUAGAGAUAAACAGCAUGCUCAGUGUGAACUGUUCAACAGGAUAAAACCAUUUGAAAAAGUUAUUUUUUCAUACAUUCUUGUAAAUAAAUUAUUCAAAUCAUUUCUUUA